GACUGACACUCCUACGGGAGGCAGCAGUCGGGGAAUAUUGCACAAUGGGGGAAACCCUGAUGCAGCCAUGCCGCGUGUGUGAAGAAGGCCUUCGGGUUGUAAAGCACUUUCAGUAGGGAGGAAGGUAGUGUAGUUAACACCUGCAUUAUUUGACGUUACCUACAGAAGAAGCACCGGCUAACUCCGUGCCAGCAGCCGCGGUAAUACGGAGGGUGCGAGCGUUAAUCGGAAUUACUGGGCGUAAAGCGCAUGCAGGCGGCCUGUUAAGUCAGAUGUGAAAGCCCCGGGGCUUAACCUCGGAAUUGCAUUUGAAACUGGCAGGCUAGAGUCUUGUAGAGGGGGUAGAAUUUCAGGUGUAGCGGUGAAAUGCGUAGAGAUCUGAAGGAAUACCAGUGGCGAAGGCGGCCCCCUGGACAAAGACUGACGCUCAGAUGCGAAAGCGUGGGGAGCAAACAGGAUUAGAUACCCUGGUAG
rnacentral:rRNA from 1 species